rfam:Zootermopsis nevadensis contig28125, whole genome shotgun sequence.
GUCACGGUGGUCUAGCGGUCAGAACACUAGCCUUGUAAGCCUGGGGUCCCGGGUUCAAUUCCCGGUGGUGCUC